rnacentral:lncRNA from 1 species
CCAUGUUGUGUUGUGUCUAUUGAUUUGGUUUACCUUAAAUUGGAGGCUUCAAACUUGAAUGGAAAUAAUGGGGAGAGAGAAAGGUGAAGGAUGUGUUUCCUGCGAGACAGUCACUAUGUUGUUGUUGUGUGGUGGGAAAGUGUUAGAGGUACACACAUUAUAUCUCUACUCUACUCUUGAAAUUCUCUUAUGUAGUUGGAUUCAACUUUGAAUUGUGUCAUGUCACGACAUGCAGGUGAAUGUGUACAACUUUCACUUUGGCCCUUCAAGAUGUGUGGACUGCAUAAACUGAUGUGCUAAUAUAUUUUUAUCUGCAUAUUUCUUUACACUUGCCUUUUAAAAAAUGGUGUUGUUACAUUAUUUUCAUUCAUACUCCAUUCUGUUAUCUAUAUUAUAGUACUAUGCUCUAGUGUAAAGUAUAUCUUUUGGCCAUAACCAGCUCUUGUAAACACUGAUGCUCGUUGAUUAAUUCUAUUGUUGAUGAUUAAUUUGAAAGGUGAGGCAGAGAAAAAGAAGGAAAAAAGUUAGAUGCUAGCAGGGCUUUUCUGAGGAAAAAGGUUUCACUUUAGAAGGUAUAAUCAGACAUAAAGAGCAGAGUUUUAGGAAAACCGGGAGAAAAAAGUUGAGCUUAGAGAUAAUAAAGUGGCCUUUGACUCUGUUAAAACUCAUUGUGUAUUUGCAUCUAGAUGGAGACACCUAUUAGGCUACAUGUUCUAUGAGUUACUGUUUUUUUGUCAAUUCAGGGCAAUAUGUAGUUCAACUUGAUUUGGACUUGCUUUUGAUUGGUUGUUAGUUGAGUUGGUGAUAAUUUACUGAUAUUACCAAUUUUUUAUGUGUUCAGUAAGAUUUGGUUACACAGUUGUCGCCAGAAAUGAACCAUUAAAGUGAUUGAUUCGAGAAGAUGUUAAGAUGA